CCUACGUGGGGCUGCAGUGAGGAAUAUUGGUCAAUGGACGGGAGUCUGAACCAGCCAAGCAGCGUGAAGGAUGACUGCCCUGUGGGUUGUAAACUUCUUUUAUAUGGGAAUAAAAUGUUCCACGUGUGGGAUUUUGUAUGUACCAUAUGAAUAAGGAUCGGCUAACUCCGUGCCAGCAGCCGCGGUAAUACGGAGGAUCCGAGCGUUAUCCGGAUUUAUUGGGUUUAAAGGGUGCGUAGGUGGAUUGUUAAGUCAGUUGUGAAAGUUUGCGGCUCAACCGUAAAAUUGCAGUUGAAACUGGCAGUCUUGAGUACAGUAGAGGUGGGCGGAAUUCGUGGUGUAGCGGUGAAAUGCUUAGAUAUCACGAAGAACUCCGAUUGCGAAGGCAGCACACUGG
rnacentral:rRNA from 1 species